UACGAGGGGGGCAAGCGUUGUUCGGAAUUAUUGGGCGUAAAGGGCGCGUAGGCGGUUUGGCAAGUCUUGGGUGAAAUCUUUGGGCUCAACCCAAAGUCUGCACAAGAAACUGCCGGGCUUGAGUAUGGGAGAGGUGAGUGGAAUUUCCGGUGUAGCGGUGAAAUGCGUAGAUAUCGGAAGGAACACCUGUGGCGAAAGCGGCUCACUGGACCAUUACUGACGCUGAGGCACGAAAGCUAGGGGAGCAAACAGG
rnacentral:rRNA from 1 species